UACGUAGGGUGCAAGCGUUAAUCGGAAUUACUGGGCGUAAAGCGUGUGCAGGCGGUCUUUUAAGUCAGAUGUGAAAUCCCCGGGCUUAACCUGGGAACUGCGUUUGAAACUGGAAGGCUAGAGUGUGGCAGAGGGGGGUGGAAUUCCACGCGUAGCAGUGAAAUGCGUAGAUAUGUGGAGGAACACCGAUGGCGAAGGCAGCCCCCUGGGCUAACACUGACGCUCAUGCACGAAAGCGUGGGGAGCAAACAGG
rnacentral:rRNA from 1 species